rnacentral:piRNA from 1 species
GCAAAGGGAGAAUUUUGAAUAAG